UACAUGGGGUGCAAACGUUGCUCGGAAUUAUUGGGCGUAAAGCGCACGUAGGCGGUUUGUUAAGUCGGAUGUGAAAUCCCUCGGCUCAACUGAGGAAGUGCAUCCGAAACUGGCAAGCUUGAGUACGAAAGAGGGUCGCGGAAUUCCCGGUGUAGAGGUGAAAUUCGUAGAUAUCGGGAGGAACACCGGUGGCGAAGGCGGCGACCUGGGUCGAUACUGACGCUGAGGCACGAAAGCGUGGGGAGCAAACAGG
rnacentral:rRNA from 1 species